rnacentral:rRNA from 1 species
ACUCCUACGGGAGGCAGCAGUGGGGAAUUUUGGACAAUGGGGGCAACCCUGAUCCAGCCAUUCCGCGUGAGUGAAGAAGGCCUUCGGGUUGUAAAGCUCUUUUGUCCGGAACGAAACGGAUGACGUGAAUAUCGUCGUCUACUGACGGUACCGGAAGAAUAAGCACCGGCUAACUACGUGCCAGCAGCCGCGGUAAUACGUAGGGUGCGAGCGUUAAUCGGAAUUACUGGGCGUAAAGCGUGCGCAGGCGGUUUUGUAAGCCAGAUGUGAAAUCCCCGGGCUUAACCUGGGAAUGGCAUUUGGGACUGCAAGGCUCGAGUGCGGCAGAGGAGACUGGAAUUCCUGGUGUAGCAGUGAAAUGCGUAGAUAUCAGGAGGAACCCCGAUGGCGAAGGCAGGUCUCUGGGCUGACACUGACGCUCAUGCACGAAAGCGUGGGGAGCAAACAGGAUUAGAUACCCUGGUAGUCCACGCCCUAAACGAUGUCGACUGGUUGUUGGGGGUUUGACACUCUCAGUAACGAAGCUAACGCGUGAAGUCGACCGCCUGGGGAGUACGGCCGCAAGGUUAAAACUCAAAGGAAUUGACGGGGACCCGCACAAGCGGUGGAUUAUGUGGAUUAAUUCGAUGCAACGCGAAAAACCUUACCUACCCUUGACAUGUCCGAGAGCCUGCUGAAAGGCGGGUGUGCCCGAAAGGGAAUCGGAACACAGGUGCUGCAUGGCUGUCGUCAGCUCGUGUCGUGAGAUGUUGGGUUAAGUCCCGCAACGAGCGCAACCCUUGUCAUUAGUUGCUACAUUCAGUUGGGCACUCUAAUGAGACUGCCGGUGACAAACCGGAGGAAGGUGGGGAUGACGUCAAGUCCUCAUGGCCCUUAUGGGUAGGGCUUCACACGUAAUACAAUGGCGCGUACAGAGGGCUGCUAAGCCGCGAGGUAGAGCCAAUCCCUUAAAGCGCGUCGUAGUCCGGAUUGCAGUCUGCAACUCGACUGCAUGAAGUUGGAAUCGCUAGUAA